rnacentral:rRNA from 1 species
GAAACGGGUGGUAAUGCCGGAUGCUCCAGUUGAUCGCAUGGUCUUCUGGGAAAGCUUUCGCGGUAUGGGAUGGGGUCGCGUCCUAUCAGCUUGACGGCGGGGUAACGGCCCACCGUGGCUUCGACGGGUAGCCGGCCUGAGAGGGCGACCGGCCACAUUGGGACUGAGAUACGGCCCAGACUCCUACGGGAGGCAGCAGUGGGGAAUAUUGCACAAUGGGCGCAAGCCUGAUGCAGCGACGCCGCGUGAGGGAUGGAGGCCUUCGGGUUGUAAACCUCUUUUAUCGGGGAGCAAGCGUGAGUGAGUUUACCCGUUGAAUAAGCACCGGCUAACUACGUGCCAGCAGCCGCGGUAAUACGUAGGGUGCAAGCGUUAUCCGGAAUUAUUGGGCGUAAAGGGCUCGUAGGCGGUUCGUCGCGUCCGGUGUGAAAGUCCAUCGCUUAACGGUGGAUCCGCGCCGGGUACGGGCGGGCUUGAGUGCGGUAGGGGAGACUGGAAUUCCCGGUGUAACGGUGGAAUGUGUAGAUAUC